rnacentral:rRNA from 1 species
ACUAAGCGUACACGGUGGAUGCCCUGGCAGUCAGAGGCGAUGAAGGGCGUGCUAAUCUGCGAUAAGCGCCGGUAAGGUGAUAUGAACCGCAACAACCGGCGAUACCCGAAUGGGGAAACCCAGUGUGACUCGUCACACUAUCAUGCAGUGAAUACAUAGCUGUAUGAGGCGAACCGGGGGAACUGAAACAUCUAAGUACCCCGAGGAAAAGAAAUCAACC